GGGCCCGCACAAGCGGUGGAGCAUGUGGUUUAAUUCGAUGAUACGCGAGGAACCUUACCAGGGCUUAAAUGUAAGUUGCAUUAGUUAGAGAUAGCUAUUUCUUCGGACCACUUACAAGGUGCUGCAUGGUUGUCGUCAGCUCGUGCCGUGAGGUGUCAGGUUAAGUCCUAUAACGAGCGCAACCCCUGUUGUUAGUUGCCAGCGAGUCAUGUCGGGAACUCUAACAAGACUGCCGGUGCAAACCGUGAGGAAGGUGGGGAUGACGUCAAAUCAUCACGGCCCUUACGUCCUGGGCUACACACGUGCUACAAUGGUCGGUACAGAGAGCAGCCACUACGCGAGUAGGAGCGAAUCUUCAAAGCCGAUCACAGUUCGGAUCGGAGUCUGCAACUCGACUGCAUGAAGUCGGAAUCGCUAGUAA
rnacentral:rRNA from 1 species